rnacentral:lncRNA from 1 species
CAUUUUUUAAAAACAUAAAGGAUACAGAUUUUCAUCACCUUGUGAAUUGAGUUUCCUUUUUUUUAUGCUUGAUGUUACUACAUUUAAGCGCCUCGAGCUUCUCUUCAUCACUGUUUCAUUUUGAAAUGCUUGGGAGGUCCUUGUGAAUGCAGGUGUAGCAAAUGUAAUGAGUUCUUUUUCCUCUCAUUUCCCAAGGAUUUCUGCAUGCUGCUCCCUCCCUUUCUCAAGUCUUAUUUUACCUGGUGUCUUUCUUCUGUUUCUUCAGUAUUUCCCAUAAAAAGCUCACAGGAUUUACUGCGGGUGUUCAGCUAGUGGUGGCACUUGGUCUUCCCAGUGCAAUGUUUAUAGUCACUAGACAGUACUGCAAGCAACUCACAGCUGGCAGCCCCACUGAAGCCCAGCAGGUAUGAGCCUGGUCAGUACCUGGAUGGGAGACCUCCUGGGAAAAACUAAGGCUCCUGCUGGAAGAGGUGUUAGUGGGGCCAGUAGGGGGCGCUCACCCCACUUUCUGUGUGGGUCCUAAUGCCCCAGUAUAGUGACGGGGACACUAUACUUUAAAAAGGAAUCGUCCUUCGGAUGAGUUGUCAAACAGAGAUCCUGACUCUUCGUAGUCACUAAAAAUCCCAGGGCGGCUCUCAAAAAGAGUAGGAGUGUUAUCUUGGUGUUCUGGCUAAAUUUCCCCCGGUCUUUACCAAUCAGCUAUGUUUACCUCUCGAAACAAAAAAAACAAACUGCAGAAUUAUACCCCAUUAAUAGAAAUUCAAAAUGGCAAGAGAGACCUGUUAGGUUUCCUUCUUAGUCAGGAGAUUGCUUUAAGUAAAGGGUUAAUGGUUAAAUUUGAACUAGAUGCUAUUCCUGUUUCCUUGAUGAGAUCUGUUCCAGUCAUAUACACCACUGUAGUCUUGAAUAAAUUAUCUUUAUUAGUCAUUAUUUUACUAGAGCUGUUCGCAGUGUGAGACGCGCUGUAUCUCUUUGGGUACUGGUUUAUGCUCAGACCUGCAGUUUGAAAAUCAGGAGUUGCCGCCCAUGAUGAACACAAGGUUUUUUGACAAAGGUGUCAAGGUGAGCCCAGGCAGCUGGUGAUGGCCCCAGUGCGCAUAUAAGCUCAU